CUACGGAGGGUGCAAGCGUUACUCGGAAUUACUGGGCGUAAAGGACGCGUAGGCGGUUUAGAAAGUCAGAUGUGAAAGCCUAUGGCUUAACCAUAGAACUGCAUUUGAAACUUCUAAACUAGAGUGGGGGAGAGGUCAGUGGAAUUAGUGGUGUAGGGGUAAAAUCCGUAGAGAUCACUAGGAAUACUCAUUGCGAAGGCGACUGACUGGAACUUAACUGACGCUGAGGCGCGAAAGCGUGGGGAGCAAACAGGAUUAGAUACCCUAGUAGUCC
rnacentral:rRNA from 1 species